rnacentral:rRNA from 1 species
GAUGAACGCUAGCUACAGGCCUAACACAUGCAAGUCGAGGGGCAGCAUGGGAGAAGCUUGCUUUUCCCGAUGGCGACCGGCGAAUGGGUGAGUCACGCGUGUCCAACCUGCCCCCCGCCCGGGGAUAGCCCUUGGACAUGAGGAUUAAGACCCGAUAGGUGCGCAUUCCGCAUGGCGUGCGCAUGAAACGAGGCGGGGGAUGGGGACGCGUCGGAUUAGCUUGACGGCGGGGCAACGGCCCACCGUGGCGACGAUCCGCAGGGGUUCUGAGAGGAAGGUCCCCCACAUUGGAACUGAGACACGGUCCAAACUCCUACGGGAGGCAGCAGUGAGGAAUAUUGGUCAAUGGGCGCGAGCCUGAACCAGCCAAGUAGCGUGCAGGACGACGGCCCUACGGGUUGUAAACUGCUUUUGCGGGAGGAUAAAGUGCGCCACGCGUGGCGCUAUGCAGGUAUCCCGUGAAUAAGGACCGGCUAAAUACAUGCCAGCCGCCGCAGUAAUAC